UUACGUUUAGUUCUCUGCCAUCGGUCUUAGUCUUCUUCUUCAGUACAAAGAGCAUAUCAAAAGAAAAACAUUUAAAAAAAUGAAAUACAUCAUGAUGUCAAAUAGACGGUGAUAACGAGGAUGCUGAUGGAGUGACGACCGAACUCCAAUAAAGCACACCAAUUUGACAGAUGACAUGAGCCAUUUUCUGAGAUGACAGAGGGCGAGAACGCGUCCACGUGUUUUCGCUCUUUAUUUACGGAACAGCCGUAUACGGUUGGCGAAUAAUGGUCGAUCACCAGUUCGUUCGCACGAUCGCUGAUAUAUCGAGAUCGUGUAUAGUUAACCCUCUUAUAGGAAGCAGCUGACGCGAUUCUGCUUGUUUAUUUUUUCUGUAACUAUGGAACUUACUUGCUAAACAAUUUUAUUAUCUAAAGCAAUCAUGAAGCAUUAAUUUCAUUUCUCGAUUCUAGCUUAAAUUGCAUUAAAUUUGUCCUUUUUGCGUAUUUAUAAUUUAAAAUAACAAAUAUAGUUAUAUUGAAGAUAUACAUAUUCAUAUUUGAUUAUGUUUCUCAAUGUUACCCUUUCGUUGAAGAAUUAAAAUCUAUGUCAGAAGAUUUAUCUCCGCGAUAAUAAUAAGUUUCGAUCGCGAACAAUUGAUGGUAUAACUUGGAGGAUUGAUUGAAAGAAAUGUAGUUCUCGGACCUAUAGACGCGAAAGUGGAUUUAUGUACACUUCCUAACACGAGCCGUGCGACGCCUCGGCUAAUAAUAAGCGUAUAUAGCUCGUCAACAAUGCAUGAGAGAGCCGCUACGUGGAAAACGCGACCUUUCCCUGUAUCGCCUCCAUCGCUACGCUUUUCCAAUCGUAGGAAAUAUGACGUUUUUUCACCCUACAUCGCUCGAUGCGCAAGCACGGGGUGGAGAUUCGAGGACACGCGAUGGAGUCCGAUUGGUCGACGAUUUCACCCUCCAGGACAAGGGUUGCUAGACGACGCGCUACCUGACGUGUCGAAUAUGACCUUGUUAAUGCAUUAAUGAUGAUGUCAAUGCUUAUUAAUUGAACAAGUUCACGCUAUCAUAUGACAGAUACAGUUAUUACAUCUCAAGAUUGUUGAUAGGUAUUAGAGAAAAAUUAUUUAACUUUUUCCUUUCUCCCUUUUUCAUACAUCUAUAUAGCAACUAAAAACCUUCACACAAUAUUUCCAUUAAUAGAGCAAUAAAAAAUUAUAACAGAAAGUAAUUUUUUGUAAUAUUUAUUUAAAAAAAACAAGGUAAAUCGGUUCGUCAAGAGACGAUAAGUAUGAAUCCUUACAGUAUAUACAUUUCCAGUCGGGCAAGAUUAAUUACGAUUAAUAAGAUGUCUAGAAUAAUUGCUUAUAUAAUUAAAAAAACGAUGAAUACUUUAA